rnacentral:rRNA from 1 species
GAAGUCUGACGGAGCACGCCGCGUGAGUGAUGAAGGCUUUCGGGUCGUAAAACUCUGUUGUUAGGGAAGAACAAGUGCUAGUUGAAUAAGCUGGCACCUUGACGGUACCUAACCAGAAAGCCACGGCUAACUACGUGCCAGCAGCCGCGGUAAUACGUAGGUGGCAAGCGUUAUCCGGAAUUAUUGGGCGUAAAGCGCGCGCAGGUGGUUUCUUAAGUCUGAUGUGAAAGCCCACGGCUCAACCGUGGAGGGUCAUUGGAAACUGGGAGACUUGAGUGCAGAAGAGGAAAGUGGAAUUCCAUGUGUAGCGGUGAAAUGCGUAGAGAUAUGGAGGAACACCAGUGGCGAAGGCGACUUUCUGGUCUGUAACUGACACUGAGGCGCGAAAGCGUGGGGAGCAAACAGGAUUAGAUACCCUGG